UUUAACCCGUACAUCAAAAAAAAUAAAUAAAAAAAUAGAAAACAUAAUAGUGGCAAUAAAUAAAUAAAUAGAACGAGCCAUAAUUCACAUAAUAGUGGCAAUAAAUAAAUAAACAGAAUGAGCCAUAAUUCAUAAUAUAAAAGUGGUGUCCUAAUUGUCACUAAGAAGCUAAUGUUAAUUGCAAAAUGGUCGGGCCAUGGAACGCCGCCGAUGACGCCGUCGCCGCCGUCGGCACAGCAGCAUGGUGGGCUGCUUUGCUCAGUCUUAUUAUGAUUGCCGCUGUCGUGUUUUCUUGCGCCGGCGGUGCCUCCGGUCCUGACAAAGCUGCUGCUACCAACCAUGUCGACACCUACGGAGGAGCACCCUGUGGCGGUGCUUGCGGCGCCGCAUGCGGUGGAUGAGGGCUCGCCGGUGGCCGAUCCACAUCGUAUUUAUUUUUAUUAUUGAAUAUUUAGCGGUGCUGAUGAAGAACAAACAAUGUUACAAGAAGGUUCAUUCUUGCAAGCAAUUCUCAGCCUUCUCACAUUGUCGAAGAAUGUCCUGCCCAAAACCAAUUCAUAAGAGUAUGUGGUUAAACUUUCUCAAUCCUAUCGUCCAAACCUAAUACAUUCAUUCCCACAAUAUGCAUAAUUAAUUAGAAGCUUACUUCCACGGCA